GUAGGAGGAGCUCGGUUAGAGUCCUGAAGGUGGUCGACCACUGUAGAAACUUGGAUGGAAUCUGAUUACUGUAGAAAUCUCAUUGUCGAAGAAGCUCGGAUAUUGAUGAAGUUCAGAAGGAGUUCGGGGAAUUGUUGAACACUAUAGAAGGUCGGCUGACAAUGAAUCCUAGAGAGCCUUUGGAGCGGCCCGGUAGACAGAUGGAGAAGCUCAUUGUCGGAGAAGCCCAGAAGUUCAAACGGUCGAGGGGGUUCAGAGAGACGCCACACA
rnacentral:lncRNA from 1 species